ACAUAUUUCUGCAAUUAAGUAACUGAUGGGAAACUACUUAGAAAAAGAACUAGUGAAAUCAUUUGCAAAACACCUCAGAUGCAGAAGUAGAACAUGUUCUUCCCAGUGCAGUAUUUGAGUCUCUAUAAAGGAAAGGGUUUCUCUUCAUUCCUCACAUCAACUAUCCCAAGACACAGCUCAGCAAAUUCCAAAUGUCAGUCACCAACCACUUACGUUCCCCACUAUAUGAGAAAACUGAGAUAGAUGUAAAGUGACUUGCCCAAGGCCCAGGAUAUGUAGAAUGUAAUGUCCUUUUGGGUUACUGUGAACUGUAGGAGACAGGAAUCUAACUAAGCAGGAGAUCACACCUUUGUCGUCCUAAUGGAAUCAUCAAGCUCUUCAAACUUCUGCUUUGACUCUUAGCAUAUUUCACAAUGACAGGUUGGUCAAUUGUGUGGUCUCACUUCUCCACCACUCAUCAAUAUUUACCACAUUCUUCCCCCAGCUGUGAAUCUGAUCCUCCUUGUCCUCUGUGCUCCUCCCCAUCCUUCUUUUCCUCGUCUCCUCCCUCAUCUUUAAUUGCCAACCAUUUAUUUCCCAACUUUCUGUUCCUCCCUUCACACCCUUCUUCUGCUUGCCUGUUGAUCUCAAUCAUCCCCUUUAGUACGUAAUUUAUAUGCUUGAAACACACACCCAGACAUUCACUGAGCCUCCAAAGAAAGCUCAUGAACUUAUGUUUGUAACUCUUGUUCUGCUGCCCCUUAGCUGCUCUCUUUGCCGUCAUCUUCUGGAAUCAUGUUAUCUCUAUUUAGACUGUCAACUCCUUGGGAAAUGCAUCUUUGUGCAUGUUUUGCAAUGCACCUGGCAUGUUUUUGGGUGCUGUCAAACAAAUAGUAAUAGAUAUGAAACUGGCAGCCUGACAGAAUGCUGAUAUCAGGAAGAAGUAGAGGCAAAUUACAUUCUUUCUGCCAUUCCGUGUAUAUAUUGCCACUCGCCAAAUUUGAUAAAUAAACCAAAAUUUCAUUAAAAGUUCUCAUUGAUUCACUGGAUAAAUAUUGAUAGAAACCAAAGAUCCCCAAAUAAUUGACCCUAACAUUAGUAUAUUGUAAGGAUUUCUGAUGUGUAUCUUGUGUUAGGCUUUAAUGAGUAAAAUGGCUGAAAUCACACAUGACACUUCGAAAAACAUUCCUAACCUCAUAGAUAUCCUUCACUUCAAAUAUUCAAACAUGUAUUUCAUAAAAAAAAUGGGGAAAGGUUUCUAUUUACUGUGUAGUAACUAGACUAGAUCACACUUUAAAAUACACACACUAUUGGCAUUUAGCAGUGCAUAUUUUCCAAAAGGGCAGCAUCUCAAUUUUCCUGACGAUGUGAUCAGAAACACACAGUAUCACUGAAGAGUACUAUCAAAAACCUUAACCGACUGACUUGUCUCAUCAUUACAUUAUAUCAGACAUUCUAAGAACUUUUUAAACUGCUUACGUUGCCAAAAGAAACAAAAACCAAGAAAAGAAGCUGAUUAUAUUCUGCUUCUGGUGACAGGCCAGCCAAAUAUCUUUAAAACAAUAUAGCUCAAAGAAUGAUGGAUUCAGGCCAGGAUUUAAUAAUAAAAUAAAAAAACCCAUACAUAUGGUUAGCAAUCCCCUAACUAAAUUAUUUGCAAAUUCCUGAGAGAAAAGCAAUUUAUUACAGACUUUGAGACAAGCCAAUGUAACACUAAUACUAAAGAAAAAUAAACCAGCAAAGGAAUGUCCUCCACUUCCCCCUUCAUCAGCCCAACCAAUAUGCUUAGGAUUGUUUCCAAAGUAUUGGUUGUCAUUCUGGCUCACAGAUUAGAAGAUUAUUUAACGGUGUGAAUCAAAGGGAAGAUCUUCAUUCAAGAAAAGAAAAGAACAUUAUUAAUAUUCUAUAACAUGCCAUACAUCUCAAUCACCAGAUUGGAAAAAAGACAGCAGAUGUUUCAUUAGAAGUUCGAAAGAGAAUUAAUAGCCAUACAUGUUUGAGGUUCAGCAACAGCCGUAGGAAGUGAUCUGAUGAAGAGAGAACUUUUAUGUACCCAGGUGCCAUAAUUUCAACUAAUUGUACAUUAGAAGGCUGUAGCUAAGAUAAAUCCAUCUUCUGUUACUUGUUUUGCACCUGCCCUUAGAAUGCUGGUAAUAUAGAGAAUGAAUUGGAGAAAAGUGUGGCAAAGAAAUCAUAAACACAACAUUGCCCCUGACAGUGAGAGCUUUCUAUUUAGUUUGAGGACAAAUGAGUUACUCCUUGAAUUAGCAAAGAUGACUGAUGUAUGAAUUUAUUCAGAUAUAAGGAUAAAUGAGGCACCCAGAUAGCACAGUGGUGGCCACAGGUAUCAGAGCAAAAUAGAAAAAGUCAUACUAAUUUCUUUGAAACAAAUGGAAACCACAUUGUUAGGUAAAUAUCAAAGGAAAUGUAAAGAUGUACAAAAGAGAUGAACGAGGGGAACAGCUGUAUAGGAUAUUACUUUUCUUGUAUAUAUCUCUAGUCUUCAGCUGUUGGGGGAUAUUUGCAUUUGAAUAAGGUUGCCGUCCCUGAGGGUCCCAUUUCUCCUUCUGUUUGAUACUUCAUUCCCCUCCUGAAUUUGUAACACCAAGGUCUAUUUACUUGGAAAUAGCUGAUAACACAUGCAGGGAAUGAUGACUUCACUGCAAGAGCAGAAACUUGUCUAAGAAAAUAAUUCUGAUUAUAAGCAAAUUUGAGGGGUGGAGGGGCAGGAAUUAAAACAAGUGAGAAAGUAGAUGUAUUUGUUCAGUCAUAUAUGGAAAAGUUUCUUUCUGUGAGAAAGACCCUCUUUAAUGACCCCAUACUUACACAAUUAAAACUGUAUUUUAUCUGGAUGCAGACAUAUCCCCAUGGCAGAGCUGUUAUAUCACACAUGAUCACCUUGAAGUUACACUAACAGAGGGAAGUUUGGAAACUACAUUUCUUGAGUCCAUGCUGUACUAGCAGAGCAACCAAAGGGGAAAUAAGCUACGAGUCCAAGUGAUGCUGAAGAAUUCUUCUAAUUUAUACACUCCAUACACAAUAGUCUUUUGCCAGUUCUGAACAGAUCCCUGAUGAACUGGGCAAAGAAGAUCAACUUCCUUUUUUCUUGGCAGGGAAAUUUAAUUAAGAAACUCCCUAAAAAUUCGGAGUAUCUUAUAUACUUCUAAGGCACAGUGAAAAACUAAGUCACUUGCAAAACAUGUUUAGGUUGAGCUUUUUGAUUAUGGUUGUAUAAAAGUAUGUAUCAAGGGAAAAAUUAAUGAGUCUUAAGCUGCUCUGGAAGUGACUGCUGAAGCUAAGUCUCCUGACUCCAUGAAUUCUGGAACACCUUGAGGGAAUUCUGAAAGUCCUUUGUAGUUGGAUUUUCAGUGCUGAGGGCAUUUUGAAAAUCCUAUCCUUAAUGUCUAACAGGCAUAAAUAUUUUAUAUGCAUUUUGAUUUUUUUAAUUAUUUGGUGGUGCUGUGGUCUCAAAAUGGAUUAAAUAGAUGUCAUUUUUUCCAGCCUGGCUCAGUCCACCUCUCUGCACAGACACAAGUGCUCGAUCCCAAGUGCUUAUAACCCCUUGGGCUUGGGCAGUGUGUGGUCAUUGUUCUUACCUCUGGAUCUCUCAGGCACACUCUCUGUGUCUGACACUUUUCUUGGGCAGCUGGACCCUGAUGUCUGGCUGCCUUAACCUCAUAAAAUCAUAGAAUUGUAAGGCACUCAAGAGGUCAUCUAGUGCAGUCCUGUGCACUCAUGGCAGG